rnacentral:rRNA from 1 species
UGGCUCAGAACGAACGCUGGCGGCGUGCUUAACACAUGCAAGUCGAGCGGAAAGGCCUCUUCGGGGGUGCUCGAGCGGCGAACGGGUGAGUAACACGUGAGUAACCUGCCCUGGGCUUGGGGAUAACCCUCGGAAACGGGGGCUAAUACCCGAUAUUCACGCAUGUCUGCAUGGGGGUGUGUGGAAAGAUUUAUCGGCUAGAGAUGGCCUCGCGGCCUAUCAGCUUGUUGGUGGGGUAACGGCCUACCAAGGCGACGACGGGUAGCCGGCCUGAGAGGGCGACCGGCCACACUGGGACUGAGACACGGCCCAGAGUACUACGGGAGGCAGCAUGUGG